AUUGAACGCUGGCGGCAUGCCUUACACAUGCAAGUCGAACGGUAACAGGUCUUCGGAUGCUGACGAGUGGCGAACGGGUGAGUAAUACAUCGGAACGUGCCUAGUAGUGGGGGAUAACUACUCGAAAGAGUGGCUAAUACCGCAUGAGAUCUACGGAUGAAAGCAGGGGAUCGCAAGACCUUGUGCUACUAGAGCGGCCGAUGGCAGAUUAGGUAGUUGGUGGGAUAAAAACUUACCAAGCCUACGAUCUGUAGCUGGUCUGAGAGGACGAUCAGCCACACUGGGACUGAGACACGGCCCAGACUCCUACGGGAGGCAGCAGUGGGGAAUUUUGGACAAUGGGCGCAAGCCUGAUCCAGCAAUGCCGCGUGCAGGAUGAAGGCCUUCGGGUUGUAAACUGCUUUUGUACGGAACGAAAAGCCCUGGGUUAAUACCCUGGGGUCAUGACGGUACCGUAAGAAUAAGCACCGGCUAACUACGUGCCAGCCGCCGCCGUAAAAC
rnacentral:rRNA from 1 species